CACCAGCGUCUCCGCUGACUAGUUUGAGGAGGUACGCACAAUAUUACAAUGUCAGACUAUUAAGAGUUUUGUCGAAGAGCUUUGAUUCUUGACCCUUAUCAGAGGAAGGGUGUCAACCUUGAAGGAUUAAAAACGUUAACUAGACGAGUUUUGGCACGGGGAGAACAUGCAAACUCCACACGGGCGAGUGUUAACCCCGGUCCUCAGAACUGUGAGGCAGAUGUGCUAACCAGGUCGUCCACCGUCCCUGCCACGAAAUGUUGACAAAUAUGAGAAGGUUCACAAGAUGCAGGUAGUAUGUGGGCAAAAAAACUUCAACGAAGUUCUGGUUCAAUUAGAUCUUUGGAUAUUUAAAUCCACAAUAAUUGUUUUCACUCUCCCACUGAGCACGUAUUUUACUAACAACACAGGAUGGCAGAACUUUUCUGUUUUUUCUUCCCAAUGAUGUGAUAGGUCCAUCAUGUGAAUCGUCUGUAUGCAAUGUACUAUAGACCCUGAAUGUUAAAAAGAACAAAGAAAAACUUACCAAAACCAUCUUAAAUGACAUCUCUUGAUAAAAUGACAUUUGGCAUUACUGUACAGAUAAAAAAAACCUUUGUAUUUUAACAUUUAGGUACAUUUUGUUAUUCAACUUCUGUGCAAUACAUUUUGAGAACUUUAACUGGAUCUUUUAUAUUAGUGACUAUCAAAGUAAGGAUUUCUGUGCUCCUGUUGUGUGUUUUUUUCUUCUAUAUGACAAAUGAUCAUUUUGAGUCUUCAUGCAUGGAAAAUGCAGCUCAAUGUUCUCGCCGGCUGCGUUGUUUGCAUUUCAUAUAUGGCCAACGCGUUAUAAAUCCCACACAAACGGCCAACUACUCAUACUGCGUCUAUUGAUGAUUUUACGGGUCUACCGACAAGUGAGGAUGCUGCAGCAAGUAAAUGGAUUUAUGGGAUGCACAAACAUACCAGUCUGUAUUUUCAAUCCGCUCUGCGUGGUAUUGUGUCGUCUCUUCUGCAGGCAGUGCCGUCACAUCGACCCAGUGGCCACUCUCUUUUUCUGUUGUACAGCUGGUACUUGGCUGCUCGUCGUCGUUACUGUCAGGUUCCGACCUCCUGAUCGGCUCAAACAUCUACGGUUUGACGAUGCCAAGUUCAGUUGGGUGCUCCUCUUCCCAUUUGACGCACACUGAAUAUGACGUUGAGGUGACAUUCGUCUGGACCCAAACCCUGGACCGAAAGCUGCAACCUGGACUGCUCUGGGGGCACCCAUUGCUCCAGUGGGUGACACUAACAGCAUGUGUUCACUACUGUAAUUUGUUGAAUGCAGAGGAAAAAUGUCAUAAAUGUGUUGAGGACAACCAACAUGACCUCUGUUCUGUAUGUUUAUGACAGGUGUCAGUGUGGUCCAUAUUGCUGGCAGUAAGUCAGAUUUGUUUCCAAUGAGGGUUGCACUCCGCCAAGGCUGACAUUGUCUCUUUGUUUUUUCAUGAGCUGUUUGGACAGAAUUUCUAGGAACAGCCAAGGUGUUAAAGGGGACAUAUUUUGCCAAACCAACUUUUUCUAGUAUUCGGGAAGUAAUAUUGUCUCUAUGGUGAGUCACUCAGUAAACGUGAAAUAUGAAUUAAAAUUUCUCGAGCUUAUCUACAUGACUAGCGAAGAUCUCCGCCUUCCCUUUCCGCUCCUGAGCCUGCGCUGUCAACAUAACGAACAUGUGCGCGCUCACAAGUGGGUCUUCUACACGGAGGCAACCAAUCAGAGGAAAUGGGACUGUCUUAGCCAAAUAUGGACAAAGCAGAUACAAAACUGGGUCAAACAGAAGUAGCUGUUUUAGGGCCCUUUUCUGGACACUCGUAUGACAAAAUCAAGGUUUUUUUUUUUUUAAUGAAAUUGACAAUUUAAUCGCGGCACGGGGGACAA